rnacentral:lncRNA from 1 species
UGACUAGCUUCAAAGGAGGUGAACCCUCUUAGGAUUGAUGUCCAGUUGAAAAGCAGCAGUGCUGGGGCACCUCAGCCUAACCAGCAGGUAUUGAAUUCCCGGUCUAAGAUGGAAGAUCAACUAGCCCAGGUAAAAUCAGCUAUUGAUGAAGCGUUGAAGUUUGUACCAGAGCAAGUUCCUGCUGUCCUUGCUAAACUAUCGCAUGAGCUGCGCUCUAAAGCUGCAUCAUCGGCAUCACCGGUGCAUGAGUUGCUGGAUUGUAUUGCUAAACUGGUAACACCCAAGAGCGAUAUGCAACCUACCAGUGGUCUCUCUGAUAGUUCGUCUGGCUCCUCUAAUGGUAAUCUACAAACAGUGAGAGACAUAAAAAAUAAUCAUGCAUCUGAAUCUGCAACAGUUUCAGCUUCAAAUUCGCAACAUGCUAAAUCAUCUGGAGCAGUGUCCUGUGAUCUACUUCAACUUACAUCAGUAAUGCAUGUAGGGUUGCAAAUAAAGUAAAUAUUCAGACGUAGUGUCCGAGGGUACCCGAGGGCCAAAUUUGUGUCCUCCGGGCCGACGUUCAGGUUCAGCACACCAGUAAAUUUAGCACACA